rnacentral:rRNA from 1 species
UACGGAGGGUGCGAGCGUUGUCCGGAAUCAUUGGGCGUAAAGGGCGCGUAGGCGGCCACGACAAGUCAGUUGUGAAAUCUCUGGGCUUAACUCAGAACGGUCAACUGAUACUGUCGGGCUAGAGUGCAGAAGGGGCAACUGGAAUUCUCGGUGUAGCGGUGAAAUGCGUAGAUAUCGAGAGGAACACCUGCGGCGAAGGCGGGUUGCUGGGCUGACACUGACGCUGAGGCGCGAAAGCUAGGGGAGCAAACGGG